rnacentral:rRNA from 1 species
UACGUAGGGGGCAAGCGUUGUCCGGAAUCAUUGGGCGUAAAGCGCGCAUAGGCGGCCCGGUAAGUCCGCUGUAAAAGUCCAGGGCUCAACCCUGGAAAGCCGGUGGAUACUGUCGGGCUCGAGUCCGGAAGAGGCGAGUGGAAUUCCUGGUGUAGCGGUGGAAUGCGCAGAUAUCAGGAGGAACACCGAUGGCGAAGGCAGCUCGCUGGGACGGUACUGACGCUGAGGCGCGAAAGCGUGGGGAGCGAACAGG